rnacentral:tRNA from 2 species
GAUUAUUUAGUUUAUACAAAAACUAGUGUUUUGAAAACACUUAAAAAGAAUUAUCUUCUUAAUAAUCA